CAAUCACAUCAGCACCAAAUGGCUCAGGAUGCUCUGGUUUCAAAGCUUAUAAAACAGAGGGUGAUUCCCUUGGGACUCACUCAGCUCGGCUCCGAAAAGCAAAGGCCAGAAGGCAGCAGUGAGCCUGGGUCCCUGCUGUGUAGGGAGACUCAGGGGCUGGGAAGAAGGAUGGAAUCAGAAAUGCUGAAGGUUUACGUGAGCUUUGCACCGAGCGCCUCCGAACCACUGCCUCUGGGCUCAACAGAACACAGGGGUAAGUCUCCAUGAACUUCUCAAAAAGAAAACUGGGAAGCUUUCUGUCUUGAUGAUUUGAGGACCCACUGGUUUCAGAGGUGCCACAUUUGGAACCAGAUCCGAGUCUUUAAGGUCCUGAAGAAUGAAGGGUACCAAGGUGGAAGGGGCGCAGGAUUAAGAGUAGGGACGCCUGCAAAAGCUCUCGUGUUACCACCUCAUCUUCCAACUUUCAUGUGGGUGAAAACGUUCAUCCUAAAUAAUUGCUUCUAAUUCUGAAGUUUUGUGAUUCCUUGAAAUGUACUUUGGGGAUGACAGCCAGCAUUUCCAUUUCACUGCAAUUUCAGAGUUUUGCAGUGGUUUGCCAAUCAUAACACUUUCUAAUUGGCACAAAAUCCACCUACCUGUUGCCUCUCAGGCUUGGGUAACAUACUUCAGACACUUUCUUAGGUAAGUCUUGGCCCUUGGGGUGUUAUUUGCCCAGAUGGUAAAAACAUUUAAGUAGGUCUGAUUAUUUCAUUUUCAGUGGUUUCAACGCAUUUUUGUGGCCUGGGUGGUUACUGUAAUGUGCCCAAGUUGUUCAUUCUGAGCCAACGGGGUCACCCACAGAGAGAAGACUUGACAAAGGAACUCUCCUCUACUCCCCUCUUGCCAGAUGAAAUAUUGUUUGUAAAAGGUCUUUGUCUUGAGAGGAUCACAUACUUUGGUUAAGAAUCCACUUUGGUUAAGCCGGUUGCUGGAUUCAGAGACAUGAACAGGAUAGACAGUCCACCGAUAACUUUAUAAUAACACCUUUUUAAUAACACCUUUAAUAACUUUUUAAUAACUUUAAAAGUUAUUAAAACUUUAUAAAAAGUUAAUCUAAAACUUUAAUAACUUUUUAAUAACACCUUUAGCCAGGGGUUUAUGCAGCAUACACGACAAAACUGGAAUAUAAUGUGGUAGGUGCAGUAGCAGGGUCCACAAAAUUAUUUUAGUUAGAUUUUAAAAAUUAUUAAGACAUCUGUUUUAUACAAGAAAAAUUCUUAUGAAAAUUUAUAGACAUGUGUUUGAAAUUUAGAAUAAGUUGCCUCUGCUUAGAAUUAUUAAGUAUUUUGAAAGGAAACACUAAUAAAUGCUAGAUAAACUUUUUCUUUUUGAUACAAUUUGUGUUUACUUUAAAUGCAAUAUUUUUUUAUCUGAAAAAAAACGUGAGCACUUAGCAAAUCUCUUCAUUAUUUUGGAAUUGGCCAAUGCUUAUAAACUACAAACAAAUAUACAGAUUGUUCCUUGUGCUGAUAUUUUUGUUUUCAAAUUUCUUAGUCCUGUUACUUAACAAAUGGCUGAUAUCUUUGUUGGAAU
rnacentral:lncRNA from 1 species